rnacentral:rRNA from 1 species
AUUGAACGCUGGCGGCAGGCCUAACACAUGCAAGUCGAACGAGUGGCGGACGGGUGAGUAAUGUCUGGGAAACUGCCUGAUGGAGGGGGAUAACUACUGGAGACGGUAGCUAAUACCGCAUACCAUCGGAUGUGCCCAGAUGGGAUUAGCUAGUAGGUGGGGUAAAGGCUCACCUAGGCGACGAUCCCUAGCUGGUCUGAGAGGAUGACCAGCCACACUGGAACUUAGAAACGUGCCAGACUCCUACGGGAGGCAUCAGUGGGUAAUAUUGCACAAUGGGCGAAAGCCUGAUGCAGCCAUGCCGCGGGUAUGAAGAAGGCCUUCGGGUUGUAAAGUACUUUCAGCGGGGAGGCGUUACCCGCAGAAGAAGCACCGGCUAACUCCGUGCCAGCAGCCGCGGUAAUAC